GUUACUGCUUCUGCCUGCUCAGCCUCCUUCCCCGAUCUCUUAAUUCUCUAUAUCUUCUGUUCUCAACUUAACUCCACCCAUUAAAUCAUCAAAGAAGCUGAUUUGGGCUUUUCUCGGAGUUGAAAGUGAUAACACACCACCACAUGGUCAAGUGAAUCAUAACCUGCUGGGGCUUGAGGUAUGGAAGACGAACAGUGGAGGAAAAGGUAUCUUCCAGCCUGGUGAAAUGCCGUGGAAAUGUGAGGCCAUUUAUUUUUUCUAAAUGCCCCAGCAACAGCUCUCAUUCACUUGCAGAAGCAAGAGCUGUUCUGACUACUCACAGUAUAUGGUGAGAUCUUUAUUUCUUUGCCUUUUUUUUUACUGUGAGUUUCCUUUUUUGUCAUCAUUGACCUUAUAAUGAAUCACUGCACUGUCUGAGUAAUGAGGCUGCAGUAGAUAAGGUCUCCUGAGAAUAUGAAGGAAGAAGUAUGUUCAGCAACUGAUUACUGACUUAUCCACCUGAUUAUAGUGACCAAUCUACUCAUAUAUCUGAUUUCAAAUGCCCAAUACAAUGUUAAUAAUCUUAUUAAAACUUCUUUGCAGUAAA
rnacentral:lncRNA from 1 species